UUUGAAGUUGUAAAUUGAUCUUGAAUGAAUGGUUUUCUUCAUGGUGUUGUAGGUUGACAUUUUGGACUUGUGAAUGAACUUUGGUACUUAUGGGCUCGCGUGUUGGUAUGGUUUAUUGCUUGGUUGGGAAUGCUUAUGAAGAGUGGAUGGAAUUUCUUGUGUAUGGAAUACUAUGGAAACUUGAAUUGGCUUGGCCUUUUUUGUAAAUUCAUGAAUUAAACAUUGUAAAUUGUAAUAUAAUUUGAAGAUAUUUGGAAUGAAUUUGCAAAUUGAUGUUGGAGAUAUGGUUGGAAGUGAAUUAUAAUUUGAA
rnacentral:lncRNA from 1 species